UACGGAGGGUGCGAGCGUUGUUCGGAAUCACUGGGCGUAAAGGGCGUGUAGGCGGCCCGCUAAGUCUGAUGUGAAAGCCCGGGGCUCACCCCCGGAAGUGCAUUGGAAACUGGCGGACUCGAGUCCCGGAGAGGAGAGUGGAAUUCCUGGUGUAGCGGUGAAAUGCGUAGAUAUCAGGAGGAACACCGGUGGCGAAGGCGCACAUCUGGCCCGAUACUGACGCUGAGGCGCGAAAGCGUGGGUAGCAAACAGG
rnacentral:rRNA from 1 species